rnacentral:lncRNA from 10 species
AAAAUUCAGUCCAUCAGCUAUGCUAGCCACAAUUCAAGUGUUCAAUUGGGCAGUGCAGAUAUAGAACUUUUCUAUCAUGACAUUACUAGACAGUGUUGGUCUGGAGACUUAAUAGUUCAUUUAUUAUAAUGCAUGAAAUUUAAAUGUUUUUUAAUUUUAAAGAGAAAACAAAGGGAAUAACUUGCUUUUAAGCUAUUGGAUAGUGUUACAAUAAUAUUUUUAAAUGAAUUGUGUUGAAUUUUGCUACAGUAGUCGUUUUGUGUUUGUACCUGGUCCAGAGGAUCCUGGAUUUGGUUCCAUCUUACCAAGGCCACCACUUGCUGAAAGCAUCACUAAUGAAUUCAGACAAAGGGUACCAUUUUCAGUUUUUACUACUAAUCCUUGCAGGUAAGAAUUAGUAUUUUGUGUUAUACAUUUUUCCUUUCAUUUAAAAAUUAGCCAGGUGUGGUGGC